CUCUUGUGCUCCCAUCAUUAAGCAAUGAGUCGAGUUUAAACCUCUACAGAUAUUUUGUGGAUAGCAUCGGUAACCUCCAGCAGCAGGUGACACAUUCAGGUGUCCAGCCUCAGGUUUGUGUAAGAGCUUUCCUACAACAGCCGGAGCAAGGAUACCCAUAAGUGCAGUGGCUGAUCUUCCAGAAAUACACACUUUGGCUCACCUCAGUGCAGUUUGCAGUGUCUUGAGUCCAUUUCUAUGAGAAAUGAAUGGAAAUCAUUGAAAUCAAAAGAAGGAAUUAAAUGUUUGCAACUCUGUGUGCUCUGAAAAACCCUGCAAAGGAAGCUUGCUAAAAAAGAAGCAUAGGAGGGAGCUGGGAAGGCAGAGUGGCCUCAUAGGAAUUGAAGGUAAUAAUGCACAGCUCAUGAAUACAGGAACACCACUGAUGUGGGAAAAGCUCACAUUUCUUAUUGGCUACACCACUACUGUACAAGGACAAGUACAGUGAGACUGUUUUUUGGUUUUUUUUUUCUCCCCUUUUUUAGCUUUGUUAUUUGUUAUUACUGUUUUUGAU
rnacentral:lncRNA from 1 species